rnacentral:rRNA from 1 species
UACGUAGGGUCCGAGCGUUGUCCGGAAUUAUUGGGCGUAAAGAGCUCGUAGGCGGUUUGUCGCGUCUGCUGUGAAAACUGGAGGCUCAACCUCCAGCCUGCAGUGGGUACGGGCAGACUAGAGUGCGGUAGGGGAGAUUGGAAUUCCUGGUGUAGCGGUGGAAUGCGCAGAUAUCAGGAGGAACACCGAUGGCGAAGGCAGAUCUCUGGGCCGUAACUGACGCUGAGGAGCGAAAGCGUGGGGAGCGAACAGG